rnacentral:rRNA from 1 species
CACGUAGGGCGCAAGCGUUGUCCGGAAUUAUUGGGCGUAAAGAGCUCGUAGGCGGUCCGUCACGUCCGCUGUGAAAACCCAGGGCUCAACCCUGGGCUUGCAGUGGAUACGGGCAGACUAGAGGUAGGUAGGGGAGCAUGGAAUUCCUGGUGUAGCGGUGAAAUGCGCAGAUAUCAGGAGGAACACCAGUGGCGAAGGCGGUGCUCUGGGCCGGAACUGACGCUGAUGAGCGAAAGCGUGGGGAGCAAACAGG